rnacentral:lncRNA from 1 species
UUCAUGGUUUUGUAUAAAAGCAUUAUAAGGCUCAAAUUUUAAUUUUUACCCCCAUUUUUCCUUUUAGUUAUCUUCAUCCCUAUAUUCAAUUAACUUAGCACAAGCAUUCAAUUUUCAAGGGAAUUAUGAAGUUUUAAGAAUGAGGAGAUAUAAUGGCUAAGGAACGAAUGAGAUUUAUUUGAUAUUGUGGUCACCUAUUUUAUUUAUUUUUUAUAAGGAUUUUGGUGACCUCUUUUUUUUUUGUUUUUGUUUUUUUUGUUUUUUUUGUAUUUUUCAAUUUUUCAUAUCUCAUUCUUUUUCUCUUUUAUUUUUUGUGUGGAACCAUUUUCCUAUGGAAAAUUUUCCUUUUAGUUUGGUUUUCGUUGAAAGAGCCAUGAUAUUCAUAAUAACGUUUAGUGGGAAACAACCACUCUAUAUUUUUUUGGAUUUCCACUACUUCUUUGGCAUGAUGGUUAAGUUCCUUAUUCGAAGUGUAUG